UCACAUACCAAAGUAGAGUAAAGAUCAUUUAAUCCAGUUAACCAACAUCUAUCUAAGAUUUUCUUUUAAUGAAGUAAUUUAUUGAUUGGCAUCCGGAGGAUCCAUAGCAGAGCAAGAGCGACAUGAGCUUAACAGCACUUUUACUAAAAAUAAAGCCGAAAGCAGACAUCUUAUAUGAGUUACAGGUUGAAUUGGAAGAUGACCCAAUACUAUUUUCGCAUUUAACAGUGGUAUUCAGCUGGUGCUUCUCUCUGUCAGCAAAAUCACAAAGCUCCAAUCAUGUGGCAGAGGAAGAGAAUGUAGGAAACUGAGCAUUGAUCAUGAGCUUCAGAAGAUAAUUGCACUGUUCAGUGACUCUUCAAAAAGAUGUUCUGAUGGCAUCAAAUCUCUAGGUGCAUUUGUAUGAUUGCAUCUCCCAAUUCCCAACAUACGACAGAAGGCAAGCAUUGAAAAAUGAAAGAUUACAGCUUAAUUUUUGCGUUACUGCCACAAAUGCAUGAACAUGUUUUUAGUAGUAUGAGGCAUUAAAAGUGAAACCUGCACUUUUGCAAAAAUAAGUAUAGACUUUAGUUGCAAGUUCACCAAUGCAAAAUAAACGAUUGAAGGUCUCUUCAGAGUAUUCAUUACAACAGAAGCAUCUAGAUGGACCAUGCACAUCAAUUUUUCUGUGAAUAUCUUCGAUGGAAAGCUUGUGCUCAAGUAACCCUGUACAUGAAAAAAGGUGCUUUAAAGGAAAUUCUAUUGUGCCAUAUUUUAACACAAGCGAGUGCAGAAUUCUGAGUUUGCAUGAGAAUAUUCCAAGCUGAUUCACAUGUAAAAAAGCAGUUCGGUGAGCAGUCCAAAUUGGGAAACAUCACUGGAAUCAUUAAAUAAGUCAUUAUACUCUCAUAUUUCUCGUCUAAGUCUUUAUCCCGCAUCCGUGACUUUGUCUCAGUCCCGUCGUCGCUUUGGUGCAACUAUCGUCCUCUGUCCAAAACCUAAAAACUGUUGUGACCUAUCAAACACUCAUACUAUUGUCUAAGUGUGUCUAGUGAACACAAGAAGUAGAAUUACGAGUUUGCAUGAGAAUGUUCCAAGUUGUUUUAAAUGUAAAAAUAACCAGUUUUGGCGAGCAAUCCAAAUAGGGUUAUAUUUUUUAUAUGUUCCAAGUUGUUUUAUGUUUUAAAUGUAUUCCAUUUAGUAGCUCAAGACUUACACUACCGGUUCUUGGGGUUGAUGUAGUGUUUUCGCACUUUGAUGUUGAUUUUCAGAUAUAUUUUUGCACUUAUCUAUGUUAUGACAGUUGAACAUCCCUUAUAUUGUUCGUUAUGAUUAUUUGUGUGUUUCUUCUAGAAGUGUUGACCUGGGUAACCAGCUUUGAUAUAGGUCCAAGGCCAGACCAUUUGUCCCACAAAAGGAAAGAUUAUUCAAGAUUACCUUGUUCUAGUUUCCACAGUAUCAAUGGUUCACACUUCAUAGUAAUGCUUAGUCCACAAUAAUUUUCUCCAAAUGUGUGACUGCCCAUAAAUCCAUUUCUUAGCAACAGGGUAAAUAUGUUGCAAUCUUUAACCUGAUGUUCACGUAUUAGUUCCCGCAGGUGAAAAAAGUGUAAAUUUUACCUUUCCUGGUACAACUUUUUUUCUCUGACUCUCUAUCUCUUUCCUCUUCGUUUUUCCUUCUUUUUCUAUUUCAAUAAACAUGCUGCCCUUAGAAUAAGAGUUCAACUUAUAUUGAUAACUGAUGCUUGAUGGAGUAUAAAUAGGAUAGGCAUAUAGAUUAUCUCGUUCCAUCAAUAAUACCGAAAGAGUAAUUACAAUGCAGNNNNNNNNNNNNNNNNNNNNNNNNNAAGUAGUGAAAAAGCAAAAGAAUGUAGUACUUUGCUACUUUAGGAAGUACAAAGCAGAAGAAAAGUAAUUAUGGGGCAGUCAUUAAAUAACAGAAAAGACUGAUAUCUUCUUAAGAAUAGACGCUACGAAAAGUACCAAGUCAAAUUCUUUCACUACGAGCCUGCAUAAAACUUUUGGAGUGAACAACAUAGCAAUUGGUUUAGAUAUCUUGACAACCAAGGGGUGUGAAGUUCAAUACAUACCUCAUGCCAUUUGAUCAGAUGUGCAACUUUAAUUCAGUGAGCAGUAGUUCUCGGAGUUUCAGGAAGAGUGCAUAAUAGAAACUUCACUUCUGCCUUUAGUUUCCUUACAUCUAAUGAAUCAAAU
rnacentral:lncRNA from 1 species